AUUGAACGCUGGCGGCAGGCCUAACACAUGCAAGUCGAGCGGAUGAAGGGAGCUUGCUCCUGGAUUCAGCGGCGGACGGGUGAGUAAUGCCUAGGAAUCUGCCUGGUAGUGGGGGAUAACGUCCGGGAACGGGCGCUAAUACCGCAUACGUCCUGAGGGAGAAAGUGGGGGAUCUUCGGACCUCACGCUAUCAGAUGAGCCUAGGUCGGAUUAGCUAGUUGGUGGGGUAAAGGCCUACCAAGGCGACGAUCCGUAACUGGUCUGAGAGGAUGAUCAGUCACACUGGAACUGAGACACGGUCCAGACUCCUACGGGAGGCAGCAGUGGGGAAUAUUGGACAAUGGGCGAAAGCCUGAUCCAGCCAUGCCGCGUGUGUGAAGAAGGUCUUCGGAUUGUAAAGCACUUUAAGCUGGGAGGAAGGGCAGUAAGUUAAUACCUUGCUGUUUUGACGUUACCAACAGAAUAAGCACCGGCUAACUUCGUG
rnacentral:rRNA from 1 species